UACGUAGGGUGCAAGCGUUAAUCGGAAUUACUGGGCGUAAAGGGUGCGUAGGCGGUUCGUUAAGUCUGUCGUGAAAUCCCCGGGCUCAACCUGGGAAUGGCGAUGGAUACUGGCGAGCUAGAGUGUGUCAGAGGAUGGUGGAAUUCCCGGUGUAGCGGUGAAAUGCGUAGAGAUCGGGAGGAACAUCAGUGGCGAAGGCGGCCAUCUGGGACAACACUGACGCUGAAGCACGGAAGCGUGGGGAGCAAACAGG
rnacentral:rRNA from 1 species